rnacentral:tRNA from 1 species
UCCCUGGUGGCUCAGAUGGUAAAGAAUCUGCCUGUAAUGCAGGAGACCCAGGUUCGAUCCCUGGGUUGGGAA